rnacentral:rRNA from 1 species
GACGUAGGGUCCAAGCGUUGUCCGGAUUUACUGGGCGUAAAGAGCGCGCAGGCGGUCGUUCAAGUCGAGUGUGAAAGCCCCCGGCUCAACUGGGGAGGGUCACUCGAUACUGAUCGACUUGAAGGCGGGAGAGGGAAGCGGAAUUCUCGGUGUAGCGGUGAAAUGCGUAGAUAUCGAGAGGAACACCUGCGGCGAAGGCGGGUUGCUGGGCUGACACUGACGCUGAGGCGCGAAAGCUAGGGGAGCGAACGGG